GACGAACGCUGGCGGCGUGCCUAAUACAUGCAAGUAGAACGCUGAAGCUUGGUGCUUGCACCGAGCGGAUGAGUUGCGAACGGGUGAGCAACGCGUAGGUAACCUGCCUGGUAGCGGGGGAUAACUAUUGGAAACGAUAGCUAAUACCGCAUAAGAGUAGAUGUUGCAUGACAUUUGCUUAAAAGGUGCAAUUGCAUCACUACCAGAUGGACCUGCGUUGUAUUAGCUAGUUGGUGAGGUAACGGCUCACCAAGGCAACGAUACAUAGCCGACCUGAGAGGGUGAUCGGCCACACUGGGACUGAGACACGGCCCAGACUCCUACGGGAGGCAGCAGUAGGGAAUCUUCGGCAAUGGACGGAAGUCUGACCGAGCAACGCCGCGUGAGUGAAGAAGGUUUUCGGAUCGUAAAGCUCUGUUGUAAGAGAAGAACGAGUGUGAGAGUGGAAAGUUCACACUGUGACGGUAUCUUACCAGAAAGGGACGGCUAACUACGUG
rnacentral:rRNA from 1 species